AAAAGAAGUGUAUUUUUCCUUAACUAGACUCCAUGCACUAGAAUCAUGGAUCCACCACCCUCAGACCCUCCACCGAGUCAAGCACCACUUCUAUCACCAUCACCACCUCAACCUCCUCAGUCCGGUGGAUGUCUUGAAGCAUUCCUCUGGUUUCUAUCCUGCUGUGGUUUGUUGUCAUGUUGCUGCCCUCCACUCUUUGAGCCAUGGCCUCCACCUCCCUAGAGAUUGCAAUGCUUGCUUUUGAUGUCUAAGGAAUUUGACUACAUUAAUUUCUUAUCCUGAAAUCAGUGUCACCACAUUAGUUUUAUGCAUUAUUGUGCCACACCUUUGUAUGUUUGUUAGUUUAUCUUUCCUUUAACACUUCAUGAUAAGACUUUCAUUGUUCUUGAAGAAAGAAAUGAAUCAGAAUGUAGGGAAUCAUGAUGUCCCUCUUCUUUUGUAUUGAACAUUAUCCCAGUGAAUGUGUUAGUCCAUGGACUUGGAGGUU